rnacentral:rRNA from 1 species
GGUUAAGCGACUAAGCGUACACGGUGGAUGCCCUGGCAGUCAGAGGCGAUGAAGGACGUGCUAAUCUGCGAUAAGCGUCGGUAAGGUGAUAUGAACCGUUAUAACCGGCGAUUUCCGAAUGGGGAAACCCAGUGUGUUUCGACACACUAUCAUUAACUGAAUCCAUAGGUUAAUGAGGCGAACCGGGGGAACUGAAACAUCUAAGUACCCCGAGGAAAAGAAAUCAACCGAGAUUCCCCCAGUAGCGGCGAGCGAACGGGGAGCAGCCCAGAGCCUGAAUCAGUGUGUGUGUUAGUGGAAGCGUCUGGAAAGGCGCGCGAUACAGGGUGACAGCCCCGUACACAAAAAUGCACAUGCUGUGAGCUCGAUGAGUAGGGCGGGACACGUGGUAUCCUGUCUGAAUAUGGGGGGACCAUCCUCCAAGGCUAAAUACUCCUGACUGACCGAUAGUGAACCAGUACCGUGAGGGAAAGGCGAAAAGAACCCCGGCGAGGGGAGUGAAAAAGAACCUGAAACCGUGUACGUACAAGCAGUGGGAGCACGCUUAGGCGUGUGACUGCGUACCUUUUGUAUAAUGGGUCAGCGACUUAUAUUCUGUAGCAAGGUUAACCGAAUAGGGGAGCCGAAGGGAAACCGAGUCUUAACUGGGCGUUAAGUUGCAGGGUAUAGACCCGAAACCCGGUGAUCUAGCCAUGGGCAGGUUGAAGGUUGGGUAACACUAACUGGAGGACCGAACCGACUAAUGUUGAAAAAUUAGCGGAUGACUUGUGGCUGGGGGUGAAAGGCCAAUCAAACCGGGAGAUAGCUGGUUCUCCCCGAAAGCUAUUUAGGUAGCGCCUCGUGAAUUCAUCUCCGGGGGUAGAGCACUGUUUCGGCAAGGGGGUCAUCCCGACUUACCAACCCGAUGCAAACUGCGAAUACCGGAGAAUGUUAUCACGGGAGACACACGGCGGGUGCUAACGUCCGUCGUGAAGAGGGAAACAACCCAGACCGCCAGCUAAGGUCCCAAAGUCAUGGUUAAGUGGGAAACGAUGUGGGAAGGCCCAGACAGCCAGGAUGUUGGCUUAGAAGCAGCCAUCAUUUAAAGAAAGCGUAAUAGCUCACUGGUCGAGUCGGCCUGCGCGGAAGAUGUAACGGGGCUAAACCAUGCACCGAAGCUGCGGCAGCGACGCUUAUGCGUUGUUGGGUAGGGGAGCGUUCUGUAAGCCUGCGAAGGUGUGCUGUGAGGCAUGCUGGAGGUAUCAGAAGUGCGAAUGCUGACAUAAGUAACGAUAAAGCGGGUGAAAAGCCCGCUCGCCGGAAGACCAAGGGUUCCUGUCCAACGUUAAUCGGGGCAGGGUGAGUCGACCCCUAAGGCGAGGCCGAAAGGCGUAGUCGAUGGGAAACAGGUUAAUAUUCCUGUACUUGGUGUUACUGCGAAGGGGGGGACGGAGAAGGCUAUGUUGGCCGGGCGACGGUUGUCCCGGUUUAAGCGUGUAGGCUGGUUUUCCAGGCAAAUCCGGAAAAUCAAGGCUGAGGCGUGAUGACGAGGCACUACGGUGCUGAAGCAACAAAUGCCCUGCUUCCAGGAAAAGCCUCUAAGCAUCAGGUAACAUCAAAUCGUACCCCAAACCGACACAGGUGGUCAGGUAGAGAAUACCAAGGCGCUUGAGAGAACUCGGGUGAAGGAACUAGGCAAAAUGGUGCCGUAACUUCGGGAGAAGGCACGCUGAUAUGUAGGUGAAGCGACUUGCUCGUGGAGCUGAAAUCAGUCGAAGAUACCAGCUGGCUGCAACUGUUUAUUAAAAACACAGCACUGUGCAAACACGAAAGUGGACGUAUACGGUGUGACGCCUGCCCGGUGCCGGAAGGUUAAUUGAUGGGGUUAGCGCAAGCGAAGCUCUUGAUCGAAGCCCCGGUAAACGGCGGCCGUAACUAUAACGGUCCUAAGGUAGCGAAAUUCCUUGUCGGGUAAGUUCCGACCUGCACGAAUGGCGUAAUGAUGGCCAGGCUGUCUCCACCCGAGACUCAGUGAAAUUGAACUCGCUGUGAAGAUGCAGUGUACCCGCGGCAAGACGGAAAGACCCCGUGAACCUUUACUAUAGCUUGACACUGAACAUUGAGCCUUGAUGUGUAGGAUAGGUGGGAGGCUUUGAAGUGUGGACGCCAGUCUGCAUGGAGCCGACCUUGAAAUACCACCCUUUAAUGUUUGAUGUUCUAACGUUGACCCGUAAUCCGGGUUGCGGACAGUGUCUGGUGGGUAGUUUGACUGGGGCGGUCUCCUCCUAAAGAGUAACGGAGGAGCACGAAGGUUGGCUAAUCCUGGUCGGACAUCAGGAGGUUAGUGCAAUGGCAUAAGCCAGCUUGACUGCGAGCGUGACGGCGCGAGCAGGUGCGAAAGCAGGUCAUAGUGAUCCGGUGGUUCUGAAUGGAAGGGCCAUCGCUCAACGGAUAAAAGGUACUCCGGGGAUAACAGGCUGAUACCGCCCAAGAGUUCAUAUCGACGGCGGUGUUUGGCACCUCGAUGUCGGCUCAUCACAUCCUGGGGCUGAAGUAGGUCCCAAGGGUAUGGCUGUUCGCCAUUUAAAGUGGUACGCGAGCUGGGUUUAGAACGUCGUGAGACAGUUCGGUCCCUAUCUGCCGUGGGCGCUGGAGAACUGAGGGGGGCUGCUCCUAGUACGAGAGGACCGGAGUGGACGCAUCACUGGUGUUCGGGUUGUCAUGCCAAUGGCACUGCCCGGUAGCUAAAUGCGGAAGAGAUAAGUGCUGAAAGCAUCUAAGCACGAAACUUGCCCCGAGAUGAGUUCUCCCUGACUCCUUGAGAGUCCUGAAGGAACGUUGAAGACGACGACGUUGAUAGGCCGGGUGUGUAAGCGCAGCGAUGCGUUGAGCUAACCGGUACUAAUGAACCGUGAGGCUUAACCUU